GGAUCGAAAGACCUUAUGCUUUUGGAGCGGCCGAUGUCUGAUUAGCUAGUUGGUAAGGUAAUGGCUUACCAAGGCGACGAUCAGUAGUUGGUCUGAGAGGACGGCCAGCCACACUGGGACUGAGACACGGCCCAGACUCCUACGGGAGGCAGCAGUGGGGAAUUUUGGACAAUGGGCGCAAGCCUGAUCCAGCAAUGCCGCGUGAGUGAAGAAGGCCUUCGGGUUGUAAAGCUCUUUCAGUCGAGAAGAAAAGGUUGUGACUAAUAAUUGCAACUCAUGACGGUAUCGACAGAAGAAGCACCGGCUAACUACGUGCCAGCAGCCGCGGUAAUACGUAGGGUGCGAGCGUUAAUCGGAAUUACUGGGCGUAAAUGAAACGCAGG
rnacentral:rRNA from 1 species